AUUGAACGCUGGCGGCAUGCCUUACACACGCAAGUCGAACGGUAACAGGUCUUCGGAUGCUGACGAGUGGCGAACGGGUGAGUAAUACAUCGGAACGUGCCCAGACGUGGGGGAUAACGAGGCGAAAGCUUUGCUAAUACCGCAUACGAUCUAAGGAUGAAAGCAGGGGACCGCAAGGCCUUGCGCGUUUGGAGCGGCCGAUGGCAGAUUAGGUAGUUGGUGGGAUAAAAGCUUACCAAGCCGACGAUCUGUAGCUGGUCUGAGAGGACGACCAGCCACACUGGGACUGAGACACGGCCCAGACUCCUACGGGAGGCAGCAGUGGGGAAUUUUGGACAAUGGGCGAAUGCCUGAUCCAGCAAUGCCGCGUGCAGGAUGAAGGCCUUCGGGUUGUAAACUGCUUUUGUACGGAACGAAAAGGCUCUGGCUAAUACCUGGGGCACAUGACGGUACCGUAAGAAUAAGCACCGGCUAACUACGUG
rnacentral:rRNA from 1 species